UAAAGGAAGUAAUUUCGCAAUGAUGCUUCACGCAGCUGGGCUGAGAUGGCGCAACUAGUGUCUGUGUCUAAAACAUGCUUAGACUUGCUGUAGUGAUUUCUAGUCAAGUGUUUUAGUGCGAUUAUUCAAAAAUAUGCUCCCUGUAUGGUAUUUCUGAGUAUAUUUUGAGUCGCGUAUAUUUGAGGCGUAUUUGGUUCCAGGACGUGCGCGGCAGCCCCAAGCAGCCAAUGGGAUUUUUGCGACAUAAGUUGGUGCAUGUUAAAGUAUCGGUAGUCGCAAGCUUUUUGGCAGUGACGCAAUCAUUGUCCAGCGAGCAAACAGGAAACUUCAUGUUAUUAUAA